UCGCAGAUAUAUGUAUACAUUUUCUUCUACUCCCAGAUAUAUGCUUUUCUUCUCUUUCAACAUAAACAUAUUCCUUAGCAAAGCACACAGCAUCAGAGAAACGAUCCAUCACAAGAUCAAAUCAAAAUCAGAUUACGUCUAGAUGGACGAAAGAUUCAACAUCAAUGUGAUUACUCCAGAAAUAGAAGAAUGGACCUGCAAGAUACAAGUAGUUGAUAAAGGCAGACCUAGAGACAACAAGGAGAAAACGAAAAAGUAUCAACUGAUGGUUUUAAAAAUCAAGUGGAAUGCAUUAUAUUCAAUGCGGAGAUAAUGCAUUUUGAUGAUCCGUUUCGCCAUUUCCAUACUUACUUGGUGUCACUUCCACAAGUCAAAGAAUCAAACUAUAUGUACGGAAAUCCACUUAAUAAGUUUACAUGGACAAUUGAUAGGUGUACCAUUGUUGAGCCAGUAGAAACUGUUAAUCCUCCAGAAGAACCACUACCUCCGCCAACGCGCCUAAAUCUUACACCAUUUGACAACUUCUAAUAUCAAACCGAGGGAUCUGAAUUCGAUGUGCUUGCCAUCGUGCUCAACACAAGCCCCUCAACCUAUGCUUCAAAUGGGCAGAGAAUUCAAGAUUUUAUCAUCAUGGAUGAUCAGGCCCAACAAAAUGAACAAAUGCUUAUCGCGUACACGAUGAAGAGCACAAGUCCAACAUGCUCUCUUUUAUUUGUUCCUUUAGAAGAAGGUGCCAAUUGCAGAAAUCCGACAGCAAAAUCCAGGUCAAAUAUUCUACAUACAUGCUGAGUCACACUACAAAAUGAGAACCAACGAUUUUGUAUCCUUGCUUGUUCAGACUGCAAACAACACUUCACAUGAGCUAUCUCGCGGAGAAAGUUCUAUUGCACUAAUUGCCGUCGAGCUACCCAGUUGGUUGCCAGGUGCCAAUUUGAAGUGACGCUCACAGAUCAGAGUGGUUCUACAACAACAACUAUUACCGACGAGCAUGCAGAAAAAAAUAUUGCUUCUCACUUUGGAAGAGAUUUAUGAUAUCUGCAAUGUCAAUAAAGGACUGUUGCCUCUUGUGAAUGCACAAAAGCUACUGACUGGCUAAAUCUUCAAGAUUCAAAUAAAAAAGUUGUUUACAAGAAACAAUGAGGCAAGAAAGUUAGUUAUUUUGUCUUUCAUGGUCAAAAGUAAUUCGGUUGUCUCACAAAUGCCAGCCACCAUCAAGGAUGUUGCGGAAGGAAGUAAACGAAAAAGUGAACACGUUGCCUCAGAGAGGCAAUAGCACCCACAUAUAACUACCAAAGGCAACGGUUCCUACAACAAAUAUAAGGCGGAAAUGAAACUUUCCCCUCCGAAAAAUUGUUGAGAGGUAUUUGAAAUUUCUGUUCCUUAUAA